UACAAGUAGUAAUUGUAUUAUUUCCAAUUUCUUCAGAAAAUUGAAUUACUUUGAGUGAUUUGUAAUGAUAAUAUACAUCUACAUCAUUAAAACCCUUUCUCUGGACCAAUAAACACUUGCUUACAAGAAAACUUCAAUCAAAACAAACACAUCAAGAAACUAUGCACUCUGGAGCUGAUAAAGUUGUUGUGAAAUCUGAAGUAAGCGAUGACUAUGUGCUGUUAGAUGAAAAGGUGGAAGUGAAGAUUGAAUAUGAUGAGUUUGUUGCGUCUCAUGCCCAGUGCUCAGUGUCUACGGAGAGAAUUAAGUGUGAACCAGAAUCACCGGCCGAUGCUUUCCAGGAAGCUCUUCAAUGGAAACAAACUCCUUCGAGCUCCACAGUUGCUGAACAUGUAGGUAGAGAACAGGAUUUGUUGAAGUGUGAUAUUAGUUUUGGAUGCACAAUUUGUUUAGAGGAUUUUCCCCAUGAAGACGAUUACUAUGCACACAUGAACAUGCAUCUUCAGAACAGCAAUGCUGACAGUAAAGGUGCGAGGUCACGAGUGUGUGAGCCUCGUGCAGCUGUGAGCUCUGGCGGGCACUCGACGCACCUUGAGGACAAAGAAGAAAAACUUAAAGAGCUAAAAAGAAAAAAAGAUCGUGAACGACAAAGGGCAUAUUAUCAUCGUCAGAAAGAAUUGAAGAAAAUUAAAAAUGAAAAAAAAAUUAAAAAGAAAAAAGAUAAAGUACCGAAAUCGAAUGCUGAACGUCAAAGGAUAUUUCGUCAACGCAAAGCAGAAAAAUCUUACGUGGAUAUGAAAAGACAAAAAUUGGACAGUAAUGUAGAGAAUGUCGUGCUAUGUAGGGCUGUUGAAAAUACAGAAAUUGUAACGCUACAAGAAAAUAAAUUUCACAGCCAACAACUUCAAAUUUAUGAACAGCGUAAUGAAUGCAUUACUCCCGAAGUUAUUCUAAACAGGAACACGGGAAUUCCUGGCGAUGGUAAUUGUCUAUUCCACUCGCUCAUAAGUGUUUUGCAACUUCAAAUUGAGGCUUGUGACCUGAGAAAUCAGUUACGCGAUUCACCCUAUUUAAACUCCUGCCACAAUCCGCAAGAAGCAUACAAUAUUCUGUCAAGCACUAAUGAUUAUGGAAAUUUGGAUUGUUUGUAUUUAUUUACAAAAAUGUACAAUCAAAAUGUUUGUGUACAUUAUUGUUCUUACAACAUAACUACAACGAAUCAAGACACUAUCUUUUGUCAUUUUAAAGCGAAUGAUACACAAAACUGGAUUCAUCUUCACCUUCGUGAGCAACAUUUCACACCUUUUUAUAAAGUAUCAGAUUUAUUGGACACAAUACAAGACGCUACCCAAAAUGAAGCCCUUGUUGAUGAAAAUACUCAAAUAUUGCGUGACAAUUAUGAUGAAGAUCCUACCGAAAAUAACCAUAACAAUCAUGAAAAUGAAAUUGAGAUUGAUAGAGAAGAUCGAAUUAAUGAAAAUAUGAAUUUUAUUGUUGAUGGUACUAUUCCAGUUUACACAAAUUAUCGUAAACACUGUACAAGCCAUAUUGAUUUUUAUAAAGACUUUACGAGUAAUACAUUUGGUCAUUCUUGUAUUAUUUGCGACAGACUAUGGUGGAAAAAGGACUUGAAAAUGUCGACCAGUAAACAUGAAAGUAUUUUGAAAACAAUACUGCAGAAUUACACACCUGGUGAAAUUGUUCAAGUCUGCUCUACGUGUCAUACAUCUUUGGAAAAAGAAAAAAUUCCUCUCAUGUCAACCUACAAUGGUUUUGCAUAUCCGAAAAUUCCAUCUCAUUUACCAACGUUAAACCUUAUCGAGCAACGAUUGAUUUCACCGAGAAUACCGUUCAUGCAGAUUCGUAGACUGAGACACGUUAAUGGUCAGCACGGUAUUUAUGGCCAGAUAAUUAAUGUUCCUAUUGAAGUUGAUACAAUGGUGAAACAAUUGCCAAGAAACAUUAAAGAUGACCAUUGCUUCUAUGUGCAUUUGAAAAAGAAGUCGAUUCACCAAACUAGUUAUGUCCACGGGCUUGUUAAUAAGAGCCAUAUCAAAGAAUGGUUGACGUAUUUAGUGUCUACCCCUCUUUAUAUUUAUCAUGACAUUAAAAUCGAUGAAUCUUUUUUUACCGGCAAUGAAUGUACUUCGCAAUUGAAUAUGGAUGAAAUUAGUGAACACGUGCCAAUUGAAGACAAUUUAGUUGCGCAGCAACACACUCUUUUGUGGAAUGAUGAUUAUUUUUUGAGUCUAGCUCCCGGUGAAUCUAACAGAAUAGACAGUAUUUUAAUGGAUGAACAUGCGGAAGAACUAUCUUUUCCGACAAUCUAUGGUGGUCAGUGUCGAACAUACAGAGAUGGUGUUAGUGUUACUCCGUUUAUGCAAGCUACCAGCGAACUUCGGCGUAUUGAUAGGCGUGGUACUGACCCACAACACCUUUUAUACAUCGCUGCUAAAAUCAUGAGGUUGCGAGUUAGCAGAUGUAUCAACGUUGCGUUUAAGCAUGUCGGACAAGGUACUUCAAUCACGAAAGAGACCAUUCAAUCUGAAGAAUAUAUAAAUAAUUGUUUAGAAACAAAUCUCGUAUUUCUUCGAUGCAUACCAAAUUCUGCUUGGUUUUGGUCGGAUCACAAAAAAGAUCUUUUUGCAAUGAUCAGGCAAUUAGGGCCACCGACUGCUUUUAUGACUCUUGGCGCCAAUGAAACUGGUUGGGAAAAUUUGUUGAAAUUAUUGUACAAAUUGAAAAACGGGGGAGCGGAAGUUUCAGAUGAGAUUUUAGCAGAAAUGAGUUAUGUGCAUAAAGCUCAACUUGUGAAUGAAGAUGCCGUAACUUGUGCUAUUUAUUUUAAUAAAAUGGUAAAUUGUCUGUUAAAAGUUUUGCAAUCAAAGAAAAGAAGUCCAUUCGGAAAAUAUAGAGUAGUACAUUAUUUCAAAAGAAUAGAAUUUCAACAUCGCGGUAGUCCAUAUGCUCAUAUUCUUCUUUGGUUGGAAAAUGUUCCUGAAGAUCUAUUAAGCAAUGGUUCUGAAGUAAUUAAGUUAAUCGACGAAUUAGUUUCUGUGUCAGCGUCAGAGGCGUCUGGAAAUAUAAAAUUAGUGAAACACAAACACACAUUCACGUGUUAUGAAAAAACGAAUCCUAAUGAAAAGCAAGAAUGUAGAUAUGGUGCACCAUUUAUGCCAACCAAAAAAACCAUUUAUUUAAUACCUAUGAAAGACAUUGAUCCCGAUUACUCUGAAGCAUUUUUCAAAGAAUAUAAGAAACAAUUUAAAUUUAUAAGAAAUAAUCUGGAAAAUUUCGACUACACGAAUUUUGAUGAAUUUUACUCGCAUAAUGAUAUUAUUUCUGAUGAUCAUUACUACAAUAUUAUUCGUGCUGGUAUCGAUAGACCAAAAUUAUUAUAUAAAAGGACACCAGCAGAAAAAUGGCACAACACUUUCAAUCCAUUCGUUUUACAUCAUUUGAAAUCGAACAUGGAAAUCCAGAUUAUACUAGACGAAUAUGACUGUGCAGCAUAUGUUGUUGAAUAUGUCAAUAAGCAUAAUAAAGGGAUUAGUGAUUUGCAAAGGCAAAUAAUUGACAUAAUGGACGAGCAUCCAGAAUUCGACAUUGCCGAUAUCACCAGCAAAAUGAGUAUUGACAUACUUCAGUCUGUUGAAAUGUCAGCACAAGAAGCUGCUUGGUAUUUAUUAAGAGAACCUAUGGCCAAGUCAUCGGUGGUGACAUUCUACAUUCCAACGGUAUUGCCUACUGAACGCGCGAGAAUUAGAAAAUCUAUGAAGGAACUUGAAGCUUUAGAUGAUGAUUGUACUAACGUUUGGAAAGAGAAUUGGUUCGAUAAAUAUGAGAAAAGACCUGAAAAACUCCGCGAUGUUACGUUAGCACAAUUUGUUGCAAAGUAUUACCUAAAUAAAAAAGGAAGUUACACUAAAAGAGAUACAGCAAGAAUAAUAAGAUACAGGAACUACAAUAUGGCUGACAAUUACAACGAUUAUAUGCGUGAGAUGGUUCUGUUGCAUGUUCCUUUUCAAAGUGAGGAAAGUGAUGUUAUUGCUGAAAAUAAGUUCAUUCAAAUAUACGAGGACAACAAAGAUACGAUAUUAGAACGUAGGAAAGAAUUUGAAUCGAAUUUGGACAUAGAGAAAACUUUAGAAAGGAAACUUUCGGAAAUUGGUACAUCUAGAAUUUGAUGACAGUAACACAUUGAUUAGAGUUUGGUUGGAACUUUGUGUUUCAGAUAAAGUAGGCAUGCAGUUCAGAGCCUGGACGAUGACUCUCCCCCUCCCACAGACUUGGCUCAACCUUCAGGUAUACCAUUAUUUGUGACACCUGCAGCCGAAGAAGAUGAUACACUGAAGAAUAAUAGAAAAGAACAUGAUAUAAACAAAAGCAGGCAACAAGUAGAUACCACCUCUACAAAGUCUCAUUGUCAGGCUACAAGUGAGAAUGACGUCACUCCGACUCAAAACAAACUUGAUAUAUCAAACACUUUGCUAAGUGAAACUGAUUGCUUGAAUACUGACAGUAAUAUACAAUGCACCAACUCAGUAAAUAGUUUACACACACACAAUGAGAACAAAUGGUUUACUUGUAAUGUUUGCAAGUAUAUGUUUAAACAAAAAAAGCUCUUAGAUAGACAUUUAAAAUCUCACACUGAAAGUGAAAUGUUUACUUGCAAGCUUUGUCAAUACAAAUCUGCCAACAAAAAUGAUCUAGUGACACAUGUGAGUACUCAUACUGGUGAAAAGGCUUAUUCUUGUAACUUACGUAAGUAUAAAUGUGCACGAAAUACUGAAUUAGUGAAUUAUAAGCGACCUCACACUGGUGAAAAGUCAUAUUCAUGUCAUUUAUGUGAGUUCAAAUGUACUACAAAAUCUUACUUAGUUGUUCAUAUGCGUACUCACACUGGUGAAAAGCCAUAUUCAUGUCAAAUUUGUGAUUUCAAAUGUUCUCAAAAUAGUGCACUAUUGAUACAUAUACGAAUUCACUCAGGUGAAAAGCCUUAUUCUUGUACCCUAUGUGAUUAUAAAUGUGCACGAAAAACUGACUUAGUGAGUCACAAGCGAACUCACACUGGUGAAAAGCCAUAUUCUUGUCAUUUAUGCGAGUUCAAAUGCAGUACAAAAUCUAUUCUUGUUAUCCAUAUGCGAUCUCACACUGGUGAAAAACCAUAUUCCUGUAAUUUGUGUAAGUUCAAAUGUACUACAAAAUCUUACUUGGUUGUACAUAUGCGUACUCACACUGGUGAAAAGCCAUAUUCAUGUCAACUUUGCGAUUACAAAUGUUCUCAAAAUAGUAGCCUAGUGAAGCAUAUUAGAACUCACAAUAGUGGAAAAACUUACUCUUGUGAGCUGUGUGACUAUAAAUGUGCACGACACAGUUUAUUCAUGCAGCACUUCGUCACACACUAGCAAGGCUAUUUUAUUUAAUAGGCUUUUAGAUUAAGGCUUUUAUGUAUAAAUAACAGUGUUUCUAUACUACAGCCUUUCUUGAUGAGUACUGUUUACCAACAAACAAAUUAGGAAUGAAGGUAGAAAAUGCAUGUCAUUUCAUAACUUAUUUAUUUUAAAUUAUGGUCUGUUUUUGAAAUGUUAUAUAAAAUAUAUUAACCAUAUCUAAUUGUUUAAGCUAAUUAAUCAAAUUUAUUUUAAUUAAUUUAAAAACAGGUUAAUUAUAAUUAUUAUUAGGUGUGAAAUAACUAGUGAUUUAUACCCUUAUUUUUAAUUUGUUUGUUGGUAAACA